CAUUUUCGUGUCCCAAUACUGAACAAACGAUCGCCUGAUCGAUCGGAACUUCUUUUUUCCUCUUUGAAACCGGCUUCCCAAGGGAACUGCCUGUGUGACUGAGAGGCUAGUAAUCUGUUUGUAGAUGAUUUAUAUUUUGGCUGCAGAAUGAAUCCCCCUCCCUACUCGGAGUACUCUCCUUAGAGAAGAUCCCCCGCCCCCUCCCCAUGGGUUCGCUCUCAGAGCUCGGAUCUGUAUAAAGAGCGCUGUGGGAGUCUUUUGCCCUCCGCUCUAGCUCUAUCUUUCUCCGGACCCCGAAGCUUAAGAAUUAUCCGCCUCACUCUCUUUUUUAGAAAUAGGAGGGAAAGGUAGAGUGGAAAUUGAUUUCUUGCAGAGACUGAGGCGCUGAAUGAUAGAGGGAAUAAACAUUUGCCCUGGAUAAAAAUGUUCUUGGCUGUUGUCCAGCUCUAAUGAUGUCCUAGAGCAGAAGUGUUUCUUCUGUUGUCUCAUUUUACCAAGAGGAUGUCUGUGUAUGUCUCUGUGUUUUAGAGAGGCUAACAAAUGCUGCUAAGAGGAUCUGAGGUUCACAUAAAGAGGCUGAAAAUUCGGAAUUACUUUCAUUGCAAAUAAAUGUUAACAAUUGUGAAAGUUAGAGAGCAUACUUUUCACAUAAGACUUUGAUAUGCUGCCUAAAGCUACUUACAAAAUUUGCUAUUCAGAGAAAUACAUUUGUUUAUUGAGGACCCACCCUGAGUUAAAUUACAAAAAUGUAACAUUCAGAUUUUUAUUUUAUAUGUGAAAUCAAUGUGUGAUUGCUGUUCUUAAAAAUUUGAAAAAAAAAAAACAGGAUAACAAAACUAUUACUUUUGUUACCCAUAGUUCAUGAACUUUAAAAGUGUUUACAGCAUUUAAAGUUUAACAAUUUAAGUAUUUGAACACUAUACUAAUUCAUAUGAUUACAUUUGAUCAACUCCUUCAUGAAGCCACAGGCUUUGUAUCUCCUAGCUGCCUUUUACCUUCAGAACACAUCUGGUUUAUACUUAGACUGCUCCAAAAGUUAUGCAUUUUAAUUUUGUGUUGAGAGUGUCUUUCUUAGAUAAUCACAGUGCAUAUUUGCAGCUAGUACUUCAGUACAUUUUAUAUUAUUGGUAAUGCUUUUGUUAGCCAUCCUGGUGCUGCCUUCUUAUAAGAACUGUGUAUGAGUUCCAACUAAUAUAUUUCUUACCUAUUAACCCACUAAAAUUUCUAAUCUAAAAGCAAUAUUCAAGAUACAUUUUAUUACAGAAAUUGGAAAGCAAUUUGCCUGGGAAGCAAAAUGUUCAUAUGAUUCAGGUGAUUUUAACAUUAAAUCUAACUUGUACCAAAAAUGAGUUAUAUAAAGAUAAAUAAAUUGAGACUAUUAUUUGCAUAGCAAAGAAAGUCACAUAUGAUAUACACAUU